GACCUUCCCAGCAUGGCGCCGUCCCGCCGGGCCCCCUCGGCGCCGGCCGCCAUCUUGGGUGUGGCACGGCAGCCCUGCCCUCCCUCAGCCUCGGGAGAGCCUGGUCCUCCAAUAUUUCCCUCGAAGCUUUUCUUUUUCUCCUCACAGUUCUACAAGCUCGACCUGCCGGAUGAGGAGAAAAAAAAUGCCUGAGCAUGGAAAGACAAGCACAAGUCCAGUGGGAAAGAGUGGCAAACCAGGCAUCACUUUAGGAUUUUCUCAAACAUGGAAAUUAUUUAGUCUCAGCCGAAUAUAAAUUAAAAGGUUUGUAUUCUGGUCUUGCUCGUGUUUGUUCUCUGCCAGUGGAACCUAACUGAAACACUUUAGAUUACACUUUCAAAGAUUCCCUUUGCAGUGAGUUGGAAAGCUCUGAUGGGCAAACGUCCUCCGCGAGACUAGAAGGAGAUUCUUGUGGAAAACUCAAUCAAUCACCUUGUGAAAUUCUCAGCGAUCAGAAAUAAAGAAACCGUUUACCUGCAAACAGCCCCAGCUGAGAGGACGGGAGGAGUUGAACACUCUCCAGCUGGACGAGCCUCCCUAAAGGGCAAAGCAACGCAGGGAACAGCAGCGAGCGCUGCCCCAGCACUGGAGGUGGUGGAUGGAGACACGCACUAAGUUAAAAGUAAAGAGCCACAUUCUCAUCUUUCACUAACUCGGUUAUUGCAGCUUUAAGAGAGAGGUUUGGAAAGUUUUCCACUCCACGCUGUUCUUGCACACCCCUUCUAAAAUUAGAAAUGGGCAGCUGGCUCCUACAGCCAAGAGCCCCCAGACUCCCUCCCCCCUUUCUCUGAUUGACUCCCAAGGGCCAUGGAGGAAUUUGGGGAAGGGUGCUUCCACCUGUUGGAUGUGGAAUGAGAUUUUCCAGGCAUACAAUUAUAAAUCCAACUGUCAGGAGCUGACAAUAAAACAGGACACAGGACAGCUGUGAGGACUACAGGACACCCGCCUCCCUUCUCUCUACUCCUACGACUUUGCAGUCCAUCUGCCAGCAGAAACAAUGCAUGAAAAAUUGUUCUCUUAUAAAAUAAAGGCAUCGCUUCACAUUUCUUCCCACAGUUUUCUAACUGUACCACAAGGUCCUAACACAGAAUCUGGCAAGUUGUUCAUGUUUCAUUACACCCCUCCAAAACCAGAUUAUUUUUCCUAAAUACAGCAUGCUGGCAAUUGCACUGCAGAUGGUGCAUAUAGCUGUGUCCUGUACAGCAAAUAAUUUUAUGCCUGCAUUAACAUGGAGCUCUUACCUUACCUUUUGCACUCAGUUUGAGCUGGACUUCUCAUUCUAAACAAACACAAUUUUCAAAAACAAGGAUAUGAAAGCCACAAGUUUGUGGGUUUUUGUAAUUUUAUUUGCAGAAGGUAUGAUUUUGUUGAUGUGAAAAAAUUAAUUCCUAUUUCCAAACCUGCUUAGCAUGUUCCAAACUCAGCACAGCAUGACUCAGAGCAGGGUGUGAGAGACAAGGUAACAACAGCUGGGCAGUGCUUUGU